rnacentral:rRNA from 1 species
GACGAACGCUGGCGGCGCGCUUAACACAUGCAAGUCGAACGGAAAGGCCUGCUUUCCCUUGUGGAUUGCGGGUACUCGAGUGGCGAACGGGUGAGUAACACGUGAGUGAUCUGCCCCCAACUUGGGUAUAAGCCUGGGAAACUGGGUCUAAUUCCCGAUAGGACUGCAGGGUGGUGCCUGUGGUGGAAAACGAUUUUCUAGUGGUUGGGGAUGAGCUCGCGGCCUAUCAGCUUGUUGGUGGGGUAAUGGCCUACCAAGGCGGCGACGGGUAGCCGGCCUGGGAGGGUGGACGGCCACAGUGGGACUGAGAUACGGCCCAGGCUCCUACGGGAGGCAGCAGUGGGGAAUGUUGCACAAUGGGCGGAAGCCUGAUGCAGCGACGCAGCGUGGGGGAUGACGGCCUUCGGGUUGUAAACUCCUUUCGACCGGGAGGAAGCCACCUGGUUGGAAGGGUGGUGACGGUAGUGGUAGAAGAAGCACCGGCUAACUACGUG